UACGUAGGCAGCAAGCGUUGCUCGGAAUCACUGGGCGUAAAGCGCACGUAGGCGGUUUCUUAAGUCAGGGGUGAAAUCCUGGAGCUCAACUCCAGAACUGCCUUUGAUACUGGGAGACUUGGAGUCCGGGAGAGGUGAGUGGAACUGCGAGUGUAGAGGUGAAAUUCGUAGAUAUUCGCAAGAACACCAGUGGCGAAGGCGGCUCACUGGCCCGGUACUGACGCUGACGGUGCGAAAGCGUGGGGAGCAAACAGG
rnacentral:rRNA from 1 species